rnacentral:rRNA from 1 species
UGGGGAAUUUUCCGCAAUGGGCGAAAGCCUGACGGAGCAAGACCGCGUGAGGGAGGAAGGCCCUUGGGUUGUAAACCUCUUUUCUCAGGGAAGAAGAAAGUGACGGUACCUGAGGAAUCAGCCUCGGCUAACUCCGUGCCAGCAGCCGCGGUAAUACGGAGGAGGCAAGCGUUAUCCGGAAUUAUUGGGCGUAAAGCGUCCGCAGGUGUUGAUG